rnacentral:rRNA from 1 species
AACGAACGCUGGCGGCAUGCCUAACACAUGCAAGUCGAACGAAGCCUUCGGGCUUAGUGGCGCACGGGUGCGUAACGCGUGGGAAUCUGCCUCUUGCUUCGGAAUAACAGUUAGAAAUGACUGCUAAUACCGGAUGAUGUCUUCGGACCAAAGAUUUAUCGGCAAGAGAUGAGCCCGCGUAGGAUUAGGUAGUUGGUGGGGUAAAGGCCUACCAAGCCGACGAUCCUUAGCUGGUCUGAGAGGAUGAUCAGACACACUGGGACUGAGACACGGCCCAGACUCCUACGGGAGGCAGCAGUGGGGAAUAUUGGACAAUGGACGCAAGUCUGAUCCAGCAAUGCCGCGUGAGUGAUGAAGGCCUUAGGGUUGUAAAGCUCUUUUACCAGGGAUGAUAAUGACAGUACCUGGAGAAUAAGCUCCGGCUAACUCCGUGCCAGCCGCCGCGGUAAAAC